AUUGUCCUACGGGGCGCAGCAGUGAGGAAUAUUGGUCAAUGGUCGGGAGACUGAACCAGCCAAGCCGCGUGAGGGAGGAAGGUACAGAGUAUCGUAAACCUCUUUUGUCAGGGAACAAAGACUGGGACGCGUCCCCGGAUGAGUGUACCUGAAGAAAAAGCAUCGGCUAACUCCGUGCCAGCAGCCGCGGUAAUACGGAGGAUGCGAGCGUUAUCCGGAUUUAUUGGGUUUAAAGGGUGCGCAGGCGGUCUGUUAAGUCAGCGGUAAAAUCGUGGAGCUCAACUCCAUCCAGCCGUUGCAACUGG
rnacentral:rRNA from 1 species